CCUACGGGAGGCUGCAGUGAGGAAUAUUGGUCAAUGGACGGAAGUCUGAACCAGCCAUGCCGCGUGCAGGAAGACGGCCCUAUGAGUUGUAAACUGCUUUUGUACAAGGGUAAAUCUGAAUACGUGUAUUCUGCUGAACGUACUGUACGAAUAAGGAUCGGCUAACUCCGUGCUAGCAGCCGCGGUAAUACGGAGGAUCCAAGCGUUAUCCGGAUUUAUUUGGUUUAAAGGGUGCGUAGGCGGAUUGAUAAGUUAGAGGUGAAAUGUCCGAGCUUAACUCGGGAACUGCCUCUAAUACUAGUGAACUAGAGAGAGGAUGCGGUAGGCGGAAUGUAUGGUGUAGCGGUGAAAUGCUUAGAGAU
rnacentral:rRNA from 1 species